CCUUUUGUAUAAUGGGUCAGCGACUUAUAUUCUGUAGCAAGGUUAACCGAAUAGGGGAGCCGAAGGGAAACCGAGUCUUAACUGGGCGUUAAGUUGCAGGGUAUAGACCCGAAACCCGGUGAUCUAGCCAUGGGCAGGUUGAAGGUUGGGUAACACUAACUGGAGGACCGAACCGACUAAUGUUGAAAAAUUAGCGGAUGACUUGUGGCUGGGGGUGAAAGGCCAAUCAAACCGGGAGAUAGCUGGUUCUCCCCGAAAGCUAUUUAGGUAGCGCCUCGUGAAUUCAUCUCCGGGGGUAGAGCACUGUUUCGGCAAGGGGGUCAUCCCGACUUACCAACCCGAUGCAAACUGCGAAUACCGGAGAAUGUUAUCACGGGAGACACACGGCGGGUGCUAACGUCCGUCGUGAAGAGGGAAACAACCCAGACCGCCAGCUAAGGUCCCAAAGUCAUGGUUAAGUGGGAAACGAUGUGGGAAGGCCCAGACAGCCAGGAUGUUGGCUUAGAAGCAGCCAUCAUUUAAAGAAAGCGUAAUAGCUCACUGGUCGAGUCGGCCUGCGCGGAAGAUGUAACGGGGCUAAACCAUGCACCGAAGCUGCGGCAGCGACGCUGAUGCGUUGUUGGGUAGGGGAGCGUUCUGUAAGCCUGCGAAGGUGUGCUGUGAGGCAUGCUGGAGGUAUCAGAAGUGCGAAUGCUGACAUAAGUAACGAUAAAGCGGGUGAAAAGCCCGCUCGCCGGAAGACCAAGGGUUCCUGUCCAACGUUAAUCGGGGCAGGGUGAGUCGACCCCUAAGGCGAGGCCGAAAGGCGUAGUCGAUGGGAAACAGGUUAAUAUUCCUGUACUUGGUGUUACUGCGAAGGGGGGACGGAGAAGGCUAUGUUGGCCGGGCGACGGUUGUCCCGGUUUAAGCGUGUAGGCUGGUUUUCCAGGCAAAUCCGGAAAAUCAAGGCUGAGGCGUGAUGACGAGGCACUACGGUGCUGAAGCAACAAAUGCCCUGCUUCCAGGAAAAGCCUCUAAGCAUCAGGUAACAUCAAAUCGUACCCCAAACCGACACAGGUGGUCAGGUAGAGAAUACCAAGGCGCUUGAGAGAACUCGGGUGAAGGAACUAGGCAAAAUGGUGCCGUAACUUCGGGAGAAGGCACGCUGAUAUGUAGGUGAAGUCCCUCGCGGAUGGAGCUGAAAUCAGUCGAAGAUACCAGCUGGCUGCAACUGUUUAUUAAAAACACAGCACUGUGCAAACACGAAAGUGGACGUAUACGGUGUGACGCCUGCCCGGUGCCGGAAGGUUAAUUGAUGGGGUUAGCGCAAGCGAAGCUCUUGAUCGAAGCCCCGGUAAACGGCGGCCGUAACUAUAACGGUCCUAAGGUAGCGAAAUUCCUUGUCGGGUAAGUUCCGACCUGCACGAAUGGCGUAAUGAUGGCCAGGCUGUCUCCACCCGAGACUCAGUGAAAUUGAACUCGCUGUGAAGAUGCAGUGUACCCGCGGCAAGACGGAAAGACCCCGUGAACCUUUACUAUAGCUUGACACUGAACAUUGAGCCUUGAUG
rnacentral:rRNA from 1 species